rnacentral:tRNA from 1 species
GGCCGCUUGGUCUAGUAGUAUGAUUCCUGUUUUGGGAUAUUACAUAAGCAUUCCUGAGCUACAGGAGGUCGUGGGUUCAAUUCCCACAGCGGCCC